rnacentral:lncRNA from 1 species
GUUUAAUCCUUCAUCACUAUUAUUUGAUUUAAUCCAAAGUUUAACUAAGUUUUGCAGAGGUUAAAUAACGUGCCAGCAGGCUGCCCAGCCAGAACGGGAAGUCAGAAUGUUCUUCUGCCUGUAGGGUGUGUGCUCCAAUGUGCCUGGAGAAGAAGAAUGUGAUAAUGGAUAAAACGCAGAGGUUCCUUGUAUGUUUUACUGUUUUUUUUUGUUAGUCUGUAGUACACUUCUGAUUCUCCAAAGUGGUACACAAUUUUCCAACUUUGAAUUUUUGACAGAGUCAUGAUUUAAAGCUUCAAGCAUAUGAUUAUGAGAUGGUGGUUCUCAACAUUUACCACAACCUCCCAGCAAACCACACAGCAGUCAACUCUCAAGAUUUCUUCCAGGAGGGUAAAGGGAUUUUUCUCUUCACAUGCCAUCCAACUCCAUGGGAAAACAUUAGCAGUGACAAAUGACUCUGGAUGAAUGCUUGAAUCCGAGGUAAAUAUGAGCCUUUGCUCCUCCACAUAAGAAAGGUGCCAUCAGAGUAUUCUCUAUGAAUACAUUUGAAAGACAACAUCUGAACAAUUUUGGUUAUUAUCUAUUAGCCUUCAGGAGAAUUUCUAUAAUUACGAAGCACGCAGUGGGAAGUGUUAUUGCUUGGAGCCAAGUCUAUUUAUGUUGAUAUUUGUAGAUAUUUACAUUUAUUUUCUUUGGCAGACAUAGACAAACACAUUUCUGAAAACUACUUUGUCUGUGGAAAAACGAAGCAGAAUAUACUUUAAAAAAAUCUACCACAGAAAGGAUAAUAAUAGCUUUCAUGUCUGAAGACAACAGACAGGCAUGAAAUAUAAGAAUUAUUUUAUCCUGGACAAGAGAAUUGGUGUUAGAGCAAAUUUUGACCAUGUCACAGUCUGGAUAACUCUUAGGUUUAAAACUUGCACCCCCAUAGACCUCAGUCCACAGAGGAGAUAACUGAUCUGGGGCUUAGCAGUAUUGGCAGGGUGGUGCAUUAUGGGAUUUAGCUAUAGAGUGUUUGCUCCCCAAAGAGAGAACUGCAGGAAUUUUAAGAACUUGCAUCAAUUCCCCUGUGUAGAACAGUAUGUCUAAGUAUAUUUCAAGUAAAUCCUCAACUCAACACAUAAAGCUGCAGUUACACCACGCCUUUAAAAGGAAAUUAGAGCACAGAAACGAGGCCAGACUGCCCCUCCUGGAGACAAAUCCCCUGUUCAUCUCUUCAACUGCUGUCAGUCCUUAAGUAUGUUUACCUCCUGUCCCACCCACCCCACUACCACAUCAGUUUCAGGCUCUUGAUUUUUUCUUCCAGGCCUCAAAAAGCAUGUAGCAAUUUAUAUAAUUUUUUUAGACAUUGUUUUUCUAUACAAGGAAGUUGUGUUUUGCUGGAAACAGAA